AAACAAAAAAGGAAAACAAAAAUGGCGAGCGCAAAAAAAUGGCGAAAAUAAAUGAAUUUGCUGGCAAAAAGGAGAUCAGCAAGCGAAGCGGCGCCACAAAUCAAGUGUAAAAGUGUAAAAAGGCAGCAGCAGCUGAUGUGGAUGUUAAUGUGGAUGUGGAUGCUGAUGUGAGUGUGUAAGUGGAUGUUGUUUCGGCAGCUGUCAGCGAGCAGCAUUAAGCGUUGCCGGACUUAGCUCCAAAAUGUGAAAGGCAGAGUAAGCAUUGGAUUUGGAGUUGAAAUCGGAACUGGAGUUGGAGUUGGAGUCGGAGUUAAGUCGGAGCUAAGCCGGAACUGCGCUCACUUUCAUUUUAGGAGGACGUUCGUCAAAUGUGUGUGGCCUGUCUGUCUGUUGCUUAGUCGUUCGGUCGGUCAGUCGGUCGUUGGGUCUGUCGGUCGUUUUGUCGUAGCAUUUAUUCGCUCGGUCGGAUUGUGUGCGACUCUCGUGUGCAGAGUCUCGUUUCACAUUGCCUCGUAUUGUGGUCGAGUUAAUUCGAACUUGGUCGUCAUCGUCCUCAACGCCGACGUCGUCGUCAGCUGCGUCGUCGUCGUCGUCAGCGUCGUCGUCGUCGUUGUCGGUGUCGCUGGGCGUCCUCUACAAAAAGUUAAGAUUCAGUCUGUAUUGUGUUUACACCCAUGGCUGACGUAGCAAGCGCAGAGCUCCAUUAAAAUACACACUUACUUAAUAUCCGCAAAGCGUAAGCAGAACAAUUAAAAUACCA